rnacentral:rRNA from 1 species
UACGUAGGGUGCAAGCGUUAAUCGGAAUUACUGGGCGUAAAGCGUGCGCAGGCGGUUUGGUAAGACAGAUGUGAAAUCCCCGGGCUCAACCUGGGAACUGCAUUUGUGACUGCAUCGCUGGAGUGCGGCAGAGGGGGAUGGAAUUCCGCGUGUAGCAGUGAAAUGCGUAGAUAUGCGGAGGAACACCGAUGGCGAAGGCAAUCCCCUGGACCUGUACUGACGCUCAUGCACGAAAGCGUGGGGAGCAAACAGG